rnacentral:sRNA from 1 species
AUGUGAUGCAUGCUCACGUGUCUCCGCAGCCGGCUCGGGAAAGAAUCCCCCAAGCUCCAUUUGAGUAAGCGUGAGAGCCGCUCAGUUUCCUCCAGCUCUGGUUUUGAUCAGUGUUCUGCUCUCUGCUUGCUUAGGGCUGGAGAGUCUCAGGCAUGGUGGUGGUGGGCAACAUGGGAAGGGGCACCUGCAGAAAUAACAGCAGCAGUGACCAUUUAUUGAGUCUUAAACCCUUACUGAUAUUAACACACGACCCACAGGAACAUAUGAUGUAAAGGCCUAAAGGGGCGAAGUGACUUGCCCAGGGUCACACAGAUAGGCAGCAGAGGAGUCAGCAUUCUGACGGCAGAACCUACUCGGAGACCCAGAUCACAGCCCUACCCAGGGCUGCUCUUGAUCUGGGGGUGGACUUGAUGCUUUAGGACCAUCAUUUCUCUGCGGGUCUCAGGCUAUGAGCUGAACCUUGAGAACACUGAAGGUCUUUUUUCAGGGCUGGGCUCCUCAGAGCCUCUCGAGAUUCUUGGAAGAAAAAAAACUGCAUCUCAAUUGUGUUUAUCCAGAGAGCAAAGAGAAUCAGUCAG